rnacentral:rRNA from 1 species
GAAUCUUGCCCAAUGGACGAAAGUCUGAGGCAGCGACGCCGCGUGGGGGAAGAAGGCCUUCGGGUUGUAAACCUCUUUCAGCAGGGACGAAGCCACUCGGGUUAAUAGCCCAGAGGGUGACGGUACCUGCAGAAGAAGCCCCGGCUAACUACGUGCCAGCAGCCGCGGUAAUACGUAGGGGGCGAGCGUUGUCCGGAUUUAUUGGGCGUAAAGAGCUCGUAGGCGGCUUGGCAAGUCGGGUGUGAAACCUCCAGGCUCAACCUGGAGACGCCACUCGAUACUGCUAUGGCUAGAGUCCGGUAGGGGACCACGGAAUUCCUGGUGUAGCGGUGAAAUGCGCAGAUAUCAGGAGGAACACCGGUGGCGAAGGCGGUGGUCUGGGCCGGCACUGACGCUGAGGAGCGAAAGCGUGGGUAGCAAAC